UGGCAGGUAGCUCAGUUUGGAUAGAGCGCUGAAAAACAUCCUUGUUCACACCUUGCCUGAAAAGGCCGACGAAUUAGGGUUAUCGCCUGUUAAGCCGGAUGUCGCAGGUUCAAAUCCUGCUCUGCCAC
rnacentral:tRNA from 1 species